rnacentral:rRNA from 1 species
GACGAGGGAUCCUAGCGUUGUUCGGAAUCAUUGGGCGUAAAGCGGGUGCAGGUGGCUAUGUAAGUCAGGUGUGAAAGCCUAGGGCUCAACCCUAGAAGUGCAUUUGAUACUGCGUAGCUUGAGUGGUAGAGAGGAUAGUAGAAUUCUUGGUGUAGUUGUGAAAUACGUAGAUAUCAAGAGGAAUACCGGAGGCGAAGGCGGCUAUCUGGCUACACACUGACACUCAGACCCGAAAGUGCGGGGAUCAAACAGG